CUGAUAGCCACAUACUUCCCCAACGAGAAACAGGGACAAUACCUGCAAAUGUUGCUUAACAAAAUUGACAGGAUUAAACAAGGCAACAUAAUCCUACGCGGGGACUUUAAUUGCACCCAGUCGCCCACACUAGAUACGACAGCCACCCUCACAGGUAACAGUAAAAAGAGAAUAGCCACUACCAGCAAACUAUUCACCAAGUUGAUAGACGAUUAUGACCUAUACGAUGCAUGGAGGGCACUAAACCCAGAGGAAAGGGACUACACCUUCCACUCAAAGGUUCAUAACACAUACACACGCAUAGACGCAGUCUUCCUGGAUAGGCCACUCCUGGCACAACUCAAGGAAUGUACAAUAGGGGAAGUAACAUGGUCAGACCAUGGACCGGUGUACCUAGAUCUCCUUGAUGCCUACCAAUUCAAGGGGAGGGGGACGUGGCGACUGAACGACUCACUUUUACUGAACUCAACCUUUGUGCGGGAGAGUAGGGAAGCACUCCAAAACUAUUUUACAACUAAUGUAGGAGAGGGGGUCUCUGAUACUACAGUAUGGUCAGCGCACAAAGCAGUCAUGAGAGGGGUAUUCAUCAGAAGGGCAUCCUUCCUGAAACCGCAC